UGCCGGCGCAUGCGCUCUACCGACAAAGCACAUCGCUCACGUGACCUGCGACUCACUUCACAAGGAACGGGGAGUCGCAGAAUAUGAAUAUACUAUAUGUUUAGUGUGGGUGAUCAGGGUGACAAUUUUCCUUUAAAACAAAUUAUUCUAUGUUACUCUAUUAAAGUAGACCAGUUAUAAGAAGGUAACGCUGUCUGAAUAUACCUUUGGUCCAGAAAAAGUUUGUGUUCGGUAUUAUCAAUUUCUUGUAACUUCCAAGGUAGCUUAGCUGGGCGAGGCGCCUUAGACCUUCUACAGUUAUGAACCAACAAACUCUGCUUUUCUGGUCCUCUGAUCAGAUCGAGUCGGCUAGGCCCUUACAAAAUACUGUAGGAUAAUUAGAUUCACCAAAGCUUAUCGGUACAGCUCACCCUCCCGUCUGCACAGCGACACGGACAAGACUGGACCCAGGUCUCUUGGAACAAAUGGAUAAGAUGAUAUCGGGAGCAAGCUGCACCUGACAGACAUCUAGUCUAUCUAUAUGAGAUCAUCGGUGUCGUGCCUGAAGCAAUAAGGCUACGACUACGACCUUAGACAAAAGCUAUUGAAAUAAUUGGUAUAUUUAUUGGUGUUUUGCGCCGUACAGCAGUAGAUGCCGGUUUAAUUCAGCAUUAUCAUAUCCGUAGCGUUUUGUUCCUCGUACCCGCGAAUCCCCUCUGUCUUUUAGUCAAACACUCAGCUGGAGAUGAAAUAGUUUACUAAAUACCUACAGGAUGUCUGAGAUCGGAAACAGCAGGAGAGCCCGUAACCCUCUGCAAACACUCGCUGCAAGGUCAUAAAUGCCUGGAGGAAACACCGACUAAAUCCAGAUACAGGAAACUCAGGAACAAAGAUCAUCCAGGGACUGUGGCCUGGCUAUCCUGGGAAUUACUUCUAUUAUGAUGAGACUGACUAGGAUAUAAUUAUAUUUGUAUAUCUGUAUA